UGAGGAAUUUUGCGCAAUGGGGGAAACCCUGACGCAGCAACGCCGCGUGAGUGAUGAAGGCCUUCGGGUCGUAAAGCUCUGUCAAGUGGGAAGAACCUGUCCUGCGAUAAUACCGCAGGGCACUGACGGUACCACUGAAGGAAGCACCGGCUAACUCCGUGCCAGCAGCCGUGGUAAUACGGGGGGUGCUAGCGUUAUUCGGAAUCAUUGGGCGUAAAGGGCGCGUAGGCGGUCUCCUAAGUCAGAUGUGAAAGCCCUCGGCUUAACCGAGGAAGUGCAUUUGAUACUAGGUGACUUGAGUAUGGGAGAGGGAAGCGGAAUUCCUGGUGUAGCGGUGAAAUGCGUAGAUAUCAGGAGGAACACCGGUGGCGAAGGCGGCUUCCUGGACCAAUACUGACGCUGAGGCGCGAAGGCGUGGGGAGCAAACA
rnacentral:rRNA from 1 species